rnacentral:ncRNA from 1 species
AUUAUUAAAAGUUUUUUUGCUUUGGGGUUUCAGAAAAACUUGAGUUAAAUGCAAGUUUCGGCGUAAAUAAUAAGAUAAUUUAGAUAAUUAACUGGGGGGUUAAUUUGGCAGUUAUUGAUAUUAAAUAUUCGGGGGGCCGAGAUUUGGUUGGGAUUUUAGUAUAAACAAAUUUUGUGCCAGCAGUUGCGGUUAUACAAAAUAUGCAAUGAAAGCUUAUCGGGGAAUAGUUGAUUUGUAUUUAAAUUUAAAUUGGAAAAAAUUUUAUUAGGUGAAAUUUUAAGAUUUUAUGAAUUUAAUUGUAUAAAGGUAAUGAGGCUAAAAAAUUUUAUUAAAAACUAGGAUUAGAUACCCUAUUAUAAAAAUUAAAAAAGCAAACCUAAAUUAUUAGUAGCUAAGUUCUUGAAAAUUAAUAAAGAUGGCGGUAUUUUAGUCUGUUCAGAGGAAUCUGCCCUGUAAUUGAUAUUCCACGAUUUAAGUUACUUAAAUUUUUAGCUUACAUAUCGCUGUGGAUUGAAUAUUUCUAUAGGAUUUUAAUGUUCAGAAUUUUGUGAGAAAGAAUAUCAAGUCAAGAUGUAGCUUAUAAUUAAGUAGAGGUGGAUUACAUUAUUUUUACAUUUAGUUAAUGAUUUGAAAAGGUUAUUAUAAAAUGGAUUUGAAUGUAAUUUUUUAUAAAGAUUUAAAAUAUGACUAAAGCUCUAAAAUAUGUACAUAUCGCCCGUCGCUUUCACUAUAAAGUGAAAUAAGUCGUAACAUAGUAGAUGUACUGGAAAGUGUCUCUAGAAGACAAAU